rnacentral:tRNA from 1 species
CUUCCGUUGGCGCAAUCGGUAGCGCAAGUUCCUUACAAGAACGAGGUUGAACGUUCGAGUCGUUCACGGAAGA